GGAAGGAGGGAAGGAAGGAAGGAAGGACGGAAGGAAGGAGACAGACAAUGAAACAGAGUAUUGUGGAUUAUAUUCCAUACUUUUCAACCCUUUUCCAGAUGGAGUAGAAACCCUGAACUCUGAGGAGGUUUGCACUGCAAUACAAAUAAAAAAGAUCUUGAAUUUUGAGCUUUUACAUAAUUGCUGAGGUCAUCUGGUUGUUAAAUUGAGCUUUUAGAAGCUUUUCUUCUCAUUCACUAAAUAAACACAUUUUUGGAUCUUUAAUGUUAGUUUAAUAAAUCGUGUCUGAAGAGUGUGUGUAGGUGUGUAUGCGUGUGUGUGUGUGUGUGUGUGUGUGUGUGUGUGAGAUGCGUGAAUUGUGAAAAUGUCUUAUCCCUCUACUAUGCAUGCAAGUCUGUAAUAUGUUCAGACAUUAGCUCGCUGUGUGAGCUGGAGACAUUCAGCGCUCUGACACCAGUGUUUCCAGUAUGGAACUCCAGAUUAACCAACUAAACGAUUGUGUUCCACACACAAGCUGGGCCUGGUUUGUCGGUGGGAGCAGCAGUUUGCUUGUAGGGAUUAGUAUGAGAGCCUGUUAAUCUCCUCACCUCAGGAGACUGGCUGUCUGUGGCGUAUCAGCUAAUGGGGAUCUUAAUAAAGACGAAACCAAAUUGAAUAUCUGAGCACAUAAAGUAGACCUAGGAGGCACAGCAAGGCAUGUGCUGAUAGAAUAAUUUCUUACCAUGAUAAUCCUGGCUGAAAUAAUAACCUUGGUGUGGGAUAUUAUCUCACUAAUUACUUAAAUAAGAUGAAAAGCUUCAGAUGAGAGUUAAAAACAUCAGAGCCUUUCUGGCUGUGCCUGUCGCUGGGUCAGGAGGAGGUUUGUCAUUCAUUUCACACUCAAAGCUACAAAUAGAAGGAAUUUUCACUUCUUACAGAGCGCUUAGCUCCAAGGCAGACUUAUUUGGAUUAUAUGUGUGUAAUACAGAUAUUUCCCAUCUAAUUUUAACUGAUAAUCAAUGCCAGUACAGACAUUUAAUUAUGAAACCACUGCUUGAGCAAUGUGUCAUUUCAAUUUUUAUGCUAUUUCACCAAAAUUAAGAGACAUUUAAGGGUGUGUGUGUGGGAGGGGGUGGGGGAAAGGGGGCAAUUAUAUUUAAAACACAAGUUCAUAGUUUUGCUUAUUCAACAUUUUUAGGGAAAAUUGUGACCAUCAUCUGAUUUUAACAGUUGAAUAAGUCCUUGUAAUCGGUCGCAGCAAGGAAAAAGAUUAACUUUAUCUAUAUCCUCUUGGUGAAUAAUAAAAAAAUGGCAGACAAUCACUAACAGUCAGUUUGACAAUAAGUCAAAUGAGUGGCUUCCAAACCGUUCAGCUUAUGACCCAAACAGACUGAAAGUGAUUUGAUCUUUCUACCUUAAUGCUUACUCAGAACUUUUUGUACGGCGUAAAAACACAAAAUACCACAAAGUAUUUUCUGUCUAGUUUAUGGUGGAAACAUCUUAGUACAGUUGAAAUAAGACAAACCUAACUCACAAUAACUUUUCAGCAGGAUAUACUUGGUCAAUACUUUUAUAA